rnacentral:rRNA from 1 species
UACGGAGGGGGCUAGCGUUGUUCGGAAUUACUGGGCGUAAAGCGCACGUAGGCGGCUUUGUAAGUUAGAGGUGAAAGCCCAGGGCUCAACCCUGGAAUUGCCUUUAAGACUGCAUCGCUAGAAUUGUGGAGAGGUAAGUGGAAUUCCGAGUGUAGAGGUGAAAUUCGUAGAUAUUCGGAAGAACACCAGUGGCGAAGGCGACUUACUGGACACAUAUUGACGCUGAGGUGCGAA